AGCGAACGCUGGCGGCAGGCCUAACACAUGCCAGUCGAACGAACUCUUCGGAGUUAGUGGCGGACGGGUGAGUAACACGUGGGAACGUGCCUUUAGGUUCGGAAUAACUCAGUUAAACUUGUGCUAAUACCGAAUGUGCCCUUCGGGGGAAAGAUUUAUCGCCUUUAGAGCGGCCCUCGUCUGAUUAGCUAGUUGGUGAGGUAAAGGCUCACCAAGGCGACGAUCAGUAGCUGGUCUGAGAGGAUGAUCAGCCACAUUGGGACUGAGACACGGCCCAAACUCCUACGGGAGGCAGCAGUGGGGAAUCGUGCGCAAUGGGCGAAAGCCUGAAGCAGCCAUGCCGCGUGAAUGAUGAAGGUCUUAGGAUUGUAAAAUUCUUUCACCGGGGACGAUAAUGACGGUACCCGGAGAAGAAGCCCCGGCUAACUUCGU
rnacentral:rRNA from 1 species